rnacentral:misc_RNA from 1 species
UCCGGCUUAACGCCGGCAGUCUCUCUAGAGUGCCCAACUUAAUGGUGGCAACUAAAGACGAGGGUUGCGCUCGUUGCGGGACUUAACCCAACACCUCACGGCACGAGCUGACGACAGCCAUGCAGCACCUGAACCGGCAGUCCCCGAAGGGAAGAUCCUAUUUCUAGGACUGUCCACCGUUGUCUAGCCCAGGUAAGGUUCUUCGCGUUGCGUCGAAUUGAACCACAUGCUCCACCGCUUGUGCGGGCCCCCGCCUAUUCCUUUGAGUUUUAACCUUGCGGCCGUAGUCCCCAGGCGGUGAACUUAAUGCGUUAGCUGCGGCACUGAUCGGGUCAAUCCGACCAACACCUAGUUCACAACGUUUAGGGCGUGGACUAC